GUCCACGCCCUAAACGAUGGAUACUCGACAUUAGCGAUACACAGUUAGUGUCUGAGCGAAAGCAUUAAGUAUCCCACCUGGGAAGUACGAUCGCAAGAUUGAAACUCAAAGGAAUUGACGGGGGUCGCACAAGCGGUGGAGCAUGUGGUUUAAUUCGAUGAUACGCGAGGAACCUUACCUGGGCUAGAAUGCUGGUGGACCGUGGGUGAAAGCUCACUUUGUAGCAAUACACCGCCAGUAAGGUGCUGCAUGGCUGUCGU
rnacentral:rRNA from 1 species